rnacentral:rRNA from 1 species
UGGGGAAUUUUGGACAAUGGGGGAAACCCUGAUCCAGCCAUCCCGCGUGUGCGAUGAAGGCCUUCGGGUUGUAAAGCACUUUUGGCAGGAAAGAAACGUCAUGGGUUAAUACCCCGUGAAACUGACGGUACCUGCAGAAUAAGCACCGGCUAACUACGUGCCAGCAGCCGCGGUAAUACGUAGGGUGCAAGCGUUAAUCGGAAUUACUGGGCGUAAAGCGUGCGCAGGCGGUACGGAAAGAAAGAUGUGAAAUCCCAGAGCUCAACUUUGGAACUGCAUUUUUAACUACCGGGCUAGAGUGUGUCAGAGGGAGGUGGAAUUCCGCGUGUAGCAGUGAAAUGCGUAGAUAUGCGGAGGAACACCGAUGGCGAAGGCAGCCUCCUGGGAUAACACUGACGCUCAUGCACGAAAGCGUGGGGAGCAAACAGG